rnacentral:rRNA from 1 species
ACGAACGUUGGCGGCGUGCCUAAUACAUGCAAGUCGCACGAGAACGGGGGGGCAACUCCCCUAGUAAAGUGGCGAAAGGGUGCGUAAUACAUGGAGAACGUACCCCUCGGAUCGGGAUAACCCGACGAAAGUCGGACUAAUACCGGGAGACGUCGCGGGGAGGCAUCUCUCUGUGACCAAAGGUACGGGAAACCGUGCCACCGGGGGAGCGCUUCAUGGCCUAUCAGCUAGUUGGCGGGGUAAUGGCCCACCAAGGCUGUGACGGGUAGCCGGACUGAGAGGUCGACCGGCCACAUGGGCACUGAGACACGGGCCCAACAUCUACGGAUGGCAGCAGUAGGGAAUCUUGCGCAAUGGGCGACAGCCUGACGCAGCGACGCCGCGUGGAGGACGAAGGCCUUCGGGUUGUAAACUCCUUUCGGGGGGGACGAACACUGACUUAACCCCCAGAAGAAGCACCGGCUAACUCCGU